GACGAACGCUGGCGGCGUGCUUAACACAUGCAAGUCGAACGGAAAGGCGCGUCCUUGCAGUGGUGGUUGAGUGGCGAACGGGUGAGUAACACGUGAGUAACCUGCCCAUCACUCUGGGAUAAGCUCUGGAAACGGUGGCUAAUACCGGAUACGACCACCUCCUGCAUGGGGGGGUGGGGAAAGGUUUGGGCGGUGGGGGAUGGACUCGCGGCCUAUCAGCUUGUUGGCGGGGUAGUGGCUCACCAAGGCGACGACGGGUAGCCGGCCUGAGAGGGUGACCGGCCACACUGGGACUGAGAUACGGCCCAGACUCCUACGGGAGGCAGCAGUGGGGAAUAUUGCACAAUGGGCGGAAGCCUGAUGCAGCAACGCCGCGUGAGGGAUGACGGCCUUCGGGUUGUAAACCGCUUUCGGCUGUGACGAAGCGUGAGUGACGGUACCGGCUGAAGAAGCACCGGCUAACUACGUG
rnacentral:rRNA from 1 species